UACGAAGGGUGCAAGCGUUAAUCGGAAUUACUGGGCGUAAAGCGUGCGUAGGUGGUUUCUUAAGUCUGCUGUGAAAGCCCUGGGCUCAACCUGGGAAUGGCGGUGGAUACUGAGGAGCUAGAGUGCGGUAGAGGAGGGUGGAAUUCCCGGUGUAGCGGUGAAAUGCGUAGAGAUCAGGAAGAACACCAAUGGCGAAAGCAGCUCUCUGGGACGGUACUGACGCUGAGACGCGAAAGCGUGGGGAGCGAACAGG
rnacentral:rRNA from 1 species